ACAGCAUCCUCAUCAACCGCUUCUGCCGCAUCGGACGCCUGGAGCUUGGUUUCGCCGCCUUUGGCCUCAUCCUUAAGACAGGCUGGAGGGUGAAUGGCAUAGUCAUCAAUCAACUGCUCAAAGGUGUCUGUGACAGAAAGUGCGUGUCUGAGGCCAUGGACAUAUUGCUCCGACGAAUGCCUGAGUUUGGCUGCACGCCAGAUGUAGUUUCAUACAACACAGUUCUAAAGGGUUUAUGCAACGAAAAGAGAGCUGAGGAGGCACUUGAGCUGCUCCACAUGAUGGCCGAUGAUGGAGGUGGUAGCUGCCCACCAGAUGUCGUGGCGUACAGCACCGUCAUCAAUGGCUUGUUUAGAGACGGUCAGGUGGACAAAGCUUACAACCUAUUUCGUGAAAUGGAUGACCGGGGGAUUUCGCCGACUGUUGUGACCUACAACACAGUCAUCAAUGGCUUGUUUAGAGACGGUCAGGUGGACAAAGCUUACAACCUAUUUCGUGAAAUGGAUGACCGGGGGAUUUCGCCGACUGUUGUGACCUACACCACAGUCAUUGAUGGCCUGAGCAAAGCUCAAGCAGUUGACAGGGCCGAGGGUGUCCUUCAGCAGAUGAUUCAUAAAGGUGUCAAGCCAGACAAUCGGACAUAUAAUUGUCUGAUCCAUGGAUAUUGCUCUUCAGGACAGGGGAAAGAGGUGGUUCGAAUGCUCAAAGAAAUGUCCGCGCAUGGUCAUAAGCCAGAUACUGUCACUUGUACUUUGCUGCUGGAUCACCUUUGCAAGAGUGGAAGAUGCACAGAGGCUAGAAAGAUUUUUGAUUCUAUGAUUGAAAAGGGCACAAAACCUAAUGUAACUACAUAUGGCGUUCUGCUUCAUGGUUAUGCUACCAAAGGAGCUCUUUCUGAUAUGCGUGGCCUCUUGGAUUUGAUGGUAGAAAAUGGUGUUUCACCUAACCAUCAUACCUUUAACAUAGUUCUCUGUGCGUAUGCUAAAGGUGGUAUGAUAGAUGAGGCAAUGCAUAUAUUUGACCAAAUGAGGCAGCAAGGGUUGAGUCCUAAUGUAGUCAACUAUGGAGCAUUAAUAGAUGCACUUUGCAAGUUGGGAAGAGUGGAUGAGGCAAUGCUUAAAUUCGAUCAGAUGAUCCAUGAAGGGGUGACUCCUUGUAUCGUUGUUUUUAGCUCACUAGUUUAUGGACUGUGCACUGUUGAGAAUUGGGAGAAGGCCGAGGAAUUAUUUUCUGAAAUGCUGAAUCAAGGGAUCCAUCCCAAUGCCACGUUCUUCACCACAAUAAUGCGUAACCUUUGCAAUGGAGGACGGGUCAUGGAAGCUCAGAGUCUCCUUGACUUGAUGGUACAUGUAGGUGUGAGACCUGAUGUUAUCUCAUAUAAUACAUUAAUAGAUGGCUACUGCUUAGCUGGUAGCAUGAAGGAAGCUAUGAAGUUACUUGAUGCUAUGGUCCGAGUUGGCUUGAAACCAGAUACCGUUUCUUUUACUACUUUGCUUCAUGGCUAUUGUAGAGCUGGCAGGAUAGAUGAUGCAGUUAGACUAUUCAGAGAAAUGUUGAGCAAUGAAGUUAAGCCUGGAAUUGUCACUUAUAACAUUGUACUUCAUGGUUUAUUUCAGUCUGGGAAGUUUUCUGAAGCAAAAGAACUCUAUCUCCAUAUGAUCAAAAGUGGAAUGCAGCUGAACAUUUACAUGUACAGCACAAUUCUGAAUGGUCUUUGCAAAAAUAAAUGUGUUGAUGAGGCAUUUAAAAUAUUUCAGAGUCUAUGUUCUAAGGAUUUUCAACUUGACAUCAUUACCUUCAAUAUUAUAAUCGAUGCUUUGCUCAAAAGUGGCAGAAAGGAAGAUGCUAUGGAUAUGUUCACUGCUAUCUCUGCCCAUGGUUUAGGUCCAGAUGUUGUGACCUAUCACUUAAUGAUAGAGAAUCUCAUAAAAGAAGGGUUGCUAGAAGAGUCUGACAAUCUGUUUUCAGCAAUGGAAAAGAGUGGAUGCACUCCAGACUCAUGUAUGCUAAAUGCUCUAGUUAGGAGGCUGUUGCAUAGAGGUGAGAUAAUGAGGGUUGGGGUUUACCUCUCCAAAAUUGAUGAGAUGAACUUCUCACUUGAGGCAGCCACUACUUCCUUGCUAAUAUCAGUUUUGUCGAGGGAGGAAUAUCAGCACCAUGCAAAGUCCCUGCCUGAAAAGUAUCAUUUUCUUAAGGAGAUCAAUAAAUGAGGAUUUUUUUUCAGAGGAAUUGGAUUCUCAACUGUGUUGAGACAUCUUUAUGUGGCGCGUAAAUUUGUUGGAGUGAUUCUGUCUGUCUAUUGCAGUGAUUAUUUCUGUCUCAUGCUCUAAUUUACUUACCAUAUUCUACGGUCUCCUUUGUUUAGAGAAAUGUUAUCAUGAUAGUGCUCUUCGGUAUGAAGUUUAUCACCAAGGAAAAAUUAUCUUAUUUUCAGUUGCACUUAUCUUUAUAACAGGGAUCAAUUUACAUGUUAAUGGUUCAAGAAAGUUUGGAUGCUUUUUGUUGCAUAAUUUUCAGGUUGGUCAUGCUAGUCAUGGAAUCUCAAGCACCUAUUCUGAACAAUUUUCAGGCGAAGUCAGGUGGAUUGUUCCGAGUCCGUCCCUGUUGAAGCGGGUAAACCACUUAACCUGCUGCCAAAGCAGUUGCAACCAGUCUCUCUCUCCCCUACGCUAACAUUGGUGUCUGGGCAAGUUGUAAAUAUUUCUGCAAUACACAACCAAUGUGAGCCCAUGCCACCAGCCAUGGCAGGUUUGUUCAUCAAUACCGCGGCUUCAUCUUGUCCUCGAUGGCUCGAUCUAAUGAAAUAGGAAACAGCAUGUCCGUGAAGAUCCUGAUCCAUGUCCACAUAAAUCUCUAUGAUCUGUAAUAAAAAAAAAAUCUCUGUGGUCUCA